UUGAUUUGAAACCCAAUCUUUUUGACUCUGAAACAUCUUCCUUGUCACAGGUGGAGAUGGAGUGGGUGAAACAAUAUGCAAUCUCUUAUUAUCCCCUCUUUUAUUACCAGCAUCUUCAUUCAGUGAGUAUAUUCCAAGGACAGCCCUGGCUGUGGUC
rnacentral:sRNA from 1 species